GACAUAGGUCGCAAACGUUAUCCGGAAUUAUUGGGCGUAAAGGGUGUGUAGGUGGUCGUGUUAGUCUUCUGUGAAAUUCUUCGGCUUAACCGGGGGUCCGCAGGGGAAACGGCACGACUCGAGGACGCAAGGGGUGAAUGGAACUCAUGGAGUAGGGGUGAAAUCCGUUGAUAUCAUGGGGAACACCAAAAGCGAAGGCAAUUCACUGGGGCAUUCCUGACACUGAAACACGAAAGCGUGGGUAGCGAACUGG
rnacentral:rRNA from 1 species